AGGAGAUCGAAACCAUCCUGGCUAACACGGUGAAACCACGUCUCUACUAAAAAUACAAAAAAAUAAUUAGCCAGGCGUGGUGGCGGGCGCACGUAGUCCCAGCUACUCAGGAGGCUGAGGCAGGAGAAUGGUGUGAACCCGGGAGGUGGAGCUUGCAGUGAGCCGAGAUCACGCCACUGCACUCCAGCCUGGGUGACAGAGCGAGACUCCGUCUCAAAAAAAAGAAAGAAAAAAGGGGGGGGGGGGAGAAUGAUAUUAACUACAGAUAUCUUUAAUAAGAUAAGGAAAUUCCUUUUUAGUUCUGAGAGCUUUCUGCAGAAGUCUUUAGAAUUAAUUUUGUUCUAUAGUUGUUUUUUCUUUUAAAGUCUUUGUCAAGUUUUGUAUUAGGCAUACACUAGCUUCAUUAAAUGAGUUGGAAAAUUAUUUUCCUCCUCUGUUUUCUGGAAGACUGGUAUUACUUCUUUCUCAAACAUAUACCAGACUUCACUAGGGAAGCCAUUUAGAACUGAAAUUUUUUAUGUGAAUAAUAUGGUAAGGUACUCAAUUUAUUUAAAAGAUCUAGACUAUUCAGAUGUUCAUCUUGACUCAGUUUUGAUACGUUGUAUUUCUAAAGGAAUUUGUCCAUUUUAUCUAAAUUAUUAAAGAUACUGGCAUAACAUUAUUUAUAACAUUCCCUUAUUAGUCUCUUAAUGAGUCUAGGACCUAUAGUGAGAUCAACUUUUUUUAUUUUGGAUACUGGUAAGCCACCA
rnacentral:lncRNA from 10 species